UAAGUAUGGGACACUUGAUGACAUGACUUCCUCAUGCCACCUUCUCUGUUUGUCCCUCUCCCCACAGUGUCUGGACAAAUGAGUCCUUACCAGGAAACCCAGCUGGGGCUGGUGUUUAGUCACUGUCAAGAGACCUCAGCUAAAGUCUGUGUAAAAACUGUCUGCUCUCCUUGUUGCUGGCUGCCCUACAGGAUCUCACUGUGAACAGACCCUGGGGAAGGCUGCCUUUUACUGGGUGUCUGGUCUGCUGAGUGUCUUUAUACUUCACAACAACCUUAUGAAGUAGAACAUCUCUCCUUCAGAGGAAGUCAGGAGAAGGUGAGCAGAGAGACCUAGGGGUUUUCAACAACAGGAAGAAGGUGGGAUGUCCCCUGACUUCUCUCUGAACAGAGCACAGGAUAUUCCUGUAAUUAAGGGAAGGACGGAGACAUGGAAAGUUGGCAAGAAGAAAUGACCCUAAAGCAAUGGCCUUAGAGGCAGGCCCAGCACAUUUCUCCUGAUAUAAAAUGUCAAACUCAGAAUGCAUACAUUAUCACAUGGACUUCUGUCACCAAGCAGUGAUCAGAAUCCCAUGACCACGUGACUAUCAAGGGCCGUGUUUUGUGUGUAGCCCCUGCAAGCACCGAGUUCCUCCUGAAAACCCAUGUCGGAAUCUGUAACAUGACCAAGCCUUCUCAGUUCUAAAUGGCUUGGGCUGCUGUCCCUAUACCGUGACAUCAGAGCUCUGGGACACCCUGGGUCCCCAUCAGCUGAUCCUCAAGAAUGUGACUCAGGGGAAGAUGAUGGUCCCAAAUGUUUUCUUCCGGCUAUUGGCAAGUGUGUUUAGUUAUGCCAUCCACACCAAGGAAAACAGCGGUCACGAAACCUAGAAUGUUUGAAUGUUCCAUGAUUUAUUACCAGGGCAAAAGAAAUACUGCAGACCACAAGACCAUUUAUCAAGUAAUUACAUAUCUUUCUGUAAGACGGCAUGCACAGCCUCAGAAACAGUCAGAGCCAGCCCGUCUUUGGUUCUGGGCCCCAGUUCCUUCCUUGCCUGCUGUGACAGGAUGAUGUCAGAUCUCCAACCCCAAAUGCCUGGUCUAGCACCACUUGGUCCUGGAAACCUGAUUGCAGGGUGGGGGUGGGGUACAUCGAGAGAAUACAAGAGGAUCGACACACAGACACGUACAAGAAAAGCUGGGGUUCGCUUACUCUGAUGGGACAGCAACACCUGUGCAAGCAAGUGGGAACCUCAGAGCUUUUAGUCCAUACGGUACAGUACGAGAUGUUAUCAAGUCUCCGCAGGACGUCUCUGUCAGGGAGCAGUCACAGGCUGCAGUCAUCGGGGAGAAGGAAGCGACAGUGGCUAGUUUUCGCACGUGCUGGCCAAUCAUUUCUAAACACUCUACUUACACCAGAGGAAGGCUUUGCCAAUUCCCACGGGUCUGAAGCCCUGGGUACUUGACAUGGCUGUGCCCAUAUUAACCACACACAUUCACUCAGGGCUUCCUUAGGUCCCCACACCCAACCUUGAGAGUCAGCCACAUCCGCAGUGGGGCUCUUACAGAAGUGACCUUCUUCAAGCGGGGUUUCCUUAGUGCUACUUCCAGUUUGUGCCAUUCAGCUGCUCCACUUCCCCGAUGAGCAUCCUCCUAGAAUUAGAGCGAAAGACGGCGCUGGUGUCCUAGGGUACCGGAACAUCUCACUGUAAUGGCUUCACUUUGGGUCUUACUCUUUCCCUUCUCUGCCCCUCCCCCCUUUCCCCCUGUAGGUCCUAGUUCUU